AGAUUAAGUUAUUAAGGGCGCACGGUGGAUGCCUUGGCACUAGAAGCCGAUGAAGGACGUUACUAACGACGAUAUGCUUUGGGGAGCUGUAAGUAAGCUUUGAUCCAGAGAUUUCCGAAUGGGGAAACCCAGCAUGAGUUAUGUCAUGUUAUCGAUAUGUGAAUACAUAGCAUAUCAGAAGGCACACCCGGAGAACUGAAACAUCUUAGUACCCGGAGGAAGAGAAAGAAAAUUCGAUUCCCUUAGUAGCGGCGAGCGAAAUGGGAAGAGCCCAAACCAACAAGCUUGCUUGUUGGGGUUGUAGGACACUCUAUACGGAGUUACAAAGGACGACAUUAGACGAAUCAUCUGGAAAGAUGAAUCAAAGAAGGUAAUAAUCCUGUAGUCGAAAAUGUUGUCUCUCUUGAGUGGAUCCUGAGUACGACGGAGCACGUGAAAUUCCGUCGGAAUCUGGGAGGACCAUCUCCUAAGGCUAAAUACUCUCUAGUGACCGAUAGUGAACCAGUACCGUGAGGGAAAGGUGAAAAGCACCCCGGAAGGGGAGUGAAAUAGAACCUGAAACCGUGUGCUUACAAGUAGUCAGAGCCCGUUAAUGGGUGAUGGCGUGCCUUUUGUAGAAUGAACCGGCGAGUUACGAUUUGAUGCAAGGUUAAGCAGUAAAUGUGGAGCCGUAGCGAAAGCGAGUCUGAAUAGGGCGUUUAGUAUUUGGUCGUAGACCCGAAACCAGGUGAUCUACCCUUGGUCAGGUUGAAGUUCAGGUAACACUGAAUGGAGGACCGAACCGACUUACGUUGAAAAGUGAGCGGAUGAACUGAGGGUAGCGGAGAAAUUCCAAUCGAACCUGGAGAUAGCUGGUUCUCUCCGAAAUAGCUUUAGGGCUAGCCUCAAGUGAUGAUUAUUGGAGGUAGAGCACUGUUUGGACGAGGGGCCCCUCUCGGGUUACCGAAUUCAGACAAACUCCGAAUGCCAAUUAAUUUAACUUGGGAGUCAGAACAUGGGUGAUAAGGUCCGUGUUCGAAAGGGAAACAGCCCAGACCACCAGCUAAGGUCCCAAAAUAUAUGUUAAGUGGAAAAGGAUGUGGCGUUGCCCAGACAACUAGGAUGUUGGCUUAGAAGCAGCCAUCAUUUAAAGAGUGCGUAAUAGCUCACUAGUCGAGUGACACUGCGCCGAAAAUGUACCGGGGCUAAACAUAUUACCGAAGCUGUGGAUUGUCCUUUGGACAAUGGUAGGAGAGCGUUCUAAGGGCGUUGAAGCAUGAUCGUAAGGACAUGUGGAGCGCUUAGAAGUGAGAAUGCCGGUGU
rnacentral:rRNA from 1 species